rnacentral:rRNA from 1 species
AACGAACGCUGGCGGCAUGCCUAACACAUGCAAGUCGAACGAGACCUUCGGGUCUAGUGGCGCACGGGUGCGUAACGCGUGGGAACCUGCCCUUAGGUCCGGAAUAACUCCCCGAAAGGGGUGCUAAUACCGGAUAAUGUCUUCGGACCAAAGAUUUAUCGCCUUUGGAUGGGCCCGCGUUGGAUUAGCUAGUUGGUAGGGUAAAAGCCUACCAAGGCGACGAUACAUAGCUGGUCUGAGAGGAUGAUCAGCCACACUGGGACUGAGACACGGCCCAGACUCCUACGGGAGGCAGCAGUGGGGAAUAUUGGAAAAUGGGCGAAAGCAUGAUCCAGCAAUGCCGCGUGAGUGAUGAAGGCCUUAGGGUUGUAAAGCUCUUUUACCCGGGAUGAUAAUGACAGUACCGGGAGAAUAAGCUCCGGCUAACUCCGUG